rnacentral:rRNA from 1 species
UACAGAGGUCUCAAGCGUUGUUCGGAUUCAUUGGGCGUAAAGGGUGCGUGGGCGGCGCGGUAAGUCGGGUGUGAAAUCUCGGAGCUUAACUCCGAAACUGCAUUCGAUACUGCCGUGCUUGAGGACUGGAGAGGAGACUGGAAUUUACGGUGUAGCGGUGAAAUGCGUAGAUAUCGUAAGGAAGACCAGUGGCGAAGGCGGGUCUCUGGACAGUUCCUGACGCUGAAGCACGAAGGCCAGGGGAGCAAACGGG